rnacentral:rRNA from 1 species
UUCCGGUUGAUCCUGCCGGAGGCCAUUGCUAUCAGGGUUUGACUAAGCCAUGCGAGUCGAGAGGUGUAAGACCUCGGCAUACUGCUCAGUAACACGUGGUUAACCUGCCCUUAGGACGGGGAUAAACCCGGGAAACUGGGUAUAAUACCCGAUAGGUCUCGAUUGCUGGAAUGCAUCGAGAUUUAAAGCUCCGGCGCCUAAGGAUGGGUCUGCGGCCUAUCAGGUAGUAGUGGGUGUAGCGUACCUACUAGCCUACGACGGGUACGGGUUGUGAGAGCAAGAGCCCGGAGAUGGAUUCUGAGACACGAAUCCAGGCCCUACGGGGUGCAGCAGGCGCGAAAACUUUACAAUGCUGGCAACAGCGAUAAGGGAACCUCGAGUGCCAGGUUACAAAUCUGGCUGUCGAGAUGCCUAAAAAGCAUUUCAUAGCAAGGGCCGGGCAAGACCGGUGCCAGCCGCCGCGGUAACACCGGCGGCUCGAGUGGUAACCGUUAUUAUUGGGUCUAAAGGGUCUGUAGCCGGCCGGAUAAGUCUCUUGAGAAAUCUGGCAGCUUAACUGUCAGGCUUUCAGGAGAUACUGUCUGGCUCGAGGCCGGGAGAGGUGAGAGGUACUUCAGGGGUAGGGGUGAAAUCUUGUAAUCCUUGAAGGACCACCAGUGGCGAAGGCGUCUCACCAGAACGGACCUGACGGCAAGGGACGGAAGCUAGGGGCACGAACCGGAUUAGAUACCCGGGUAGUCCUAGCCGUAAACGAUACUCGCUAGGUGUCGGCCACGGUGCGACCGUUGUCGGUGCCGUAGGGAAGCCGUGAAGCGAGCCACCUGGGAAGUACGGCCGCAAGGCUGAAACUUAAAGGAAUUGGCGGGGGAGCACCACAACGGGUGGAGCUUGCGGUUUAAUUGGAUUCAACGCCGGA